ACGCACGCUGGCGGCGUGCUUAACACAUGCAAGUCGAGCGGAAAGGCCUGCUUUCCCUUGUGGAUUGCGGGUGCUCGAGUGGCGAACGGGUGAGUAACACGUGAGUGAUCUGCCCCCAACUUGGGUAUAAGCCUGGGAAACUGGGUCUAAUUCCCGAUAGGACUGCAGGGUGGUGCCUGUGGUGGAAAACGAUUUUCUAGUGGUUGGGGAUGAGCUCGCGGCCUAUCAGCUUGUUGGUGGGGUAAUGGCCUACCAAGGCGGCGACGGGUAGCCGGCCUGAGAGGGUGGACGGCCACAUUGGGACUGAGAUACGGCCCAGACUCCUACGGGAGGCAGCAGUGGGGAAUAGUGCACAAUGGGCGGAAGCCUGAUGCAGCGACGCCGCGUGGGGGAUGACGGCCUUCGGGUUGUAAACUCCUUUCGACCGCGAGGAAGCCACCUGGUUGGAAGGGUGGUGACGGUAGUGGUAGAAGAAGCACCGGCUAACUACGUG
rnacentral:rRNA from 1 species